UUGGCUAUAUGAUCUUGAUGUGACUUAUUAUGGGAAAUCGAAUACUUAUGUGUUCACACACAAGGGGCAGAAGAUUACUUUAGUGCCUGUGAGACCACGAGUGUCUCCCAAGGGUCAACCAAAAGAAAAUAAUACGUCUACACAAGAAUCCAAAUAUCUCCAUGUCCUUAGUCAGAAGGCCUUUGAGAAAAGUGAGAGAGGAGAAGGAUGUGUG
rnacentral:lncRNA from 1 species